GUAUUGACUUUAAGCUAUUUUGAAUUGAAAUUCGAAUUACAUUCUUCUUAUAAAGGUGAAAUCUAUUAAGGUUUCUUGGAUACUUAUAAAAGACAACUUUGCUUUCCACAACCAGAUGCUUGGUGCAUUUCCAAACAAGACAACUCAUAAUAUAACAUAAGUCAUAAACUUGAGGUGAAAGUUUGAGGUGGAAGGUUUGUUGAAGUAAGUCACUUAAUAAAAGAUAUUACUUUAGAUAAAUUACUAAUGGUCAAAAGAUAGCAAAAGAGUAUAAGGAAGUUACUAUAGUGGCUUGUAGGAUUUGUAGGUGGUGGCUAGGUUGAGAAAGAAUCUAGGAUUUAGUUGGAUGAAGAAGAAAUGGAUGUAACAUCAAUGAAAGUUACCUCGUUGGUUGGCAACCACCAC
rnacentral:lncRNA from 1 species